UUGCACUGAUGAGCCUAGAUAUAAAUGACCUGGUAUUGCUUCCCUCCGGGGAUGGCUCUGACCAGGGUAAGAUCUCGUUAAUCUUCUCUCUGAGCAG